rnacentral:rRNA from 1 species
UACGUAGGGUGCAAGCGUUGUCCGGAAUUAUUGGGCGUAAAGAGCUCGUAGGCGGUUUGUUGCGUCCGCUGUGAAAACCCAGGGCUUAACCCUGGGCUGGCAGUGGAUACGGACAGACUAGAGGUAGGUAGGGGAGAAUGGAAUUCCCGGUGUAGCGGUGAAAUGCGCAGAUAUCGGGAGGAACACCGGUGGCGAAGGCGGUUCUCUGGGCCUUACCUGACGCUGAGGAGCGAAAGCGUGGGGAGCGAACAGG